GGACAAGAACACUCACCAUUGCGGGUGCUACCCGACUUGUGAGAGCGAUGAGUACGCCAUUGAGGAGACUGACACUAUUAACGGGACUGCAGAUUUUGGCAACACUGCUGUCGCAUUUCAGGUGGAGAACUACCCAACCGUCAGAAUGAAGCGAGACAUCCUAUUUACAUUACCUGACAUGCUUGUGGCAUUCGGUGGAGCUGCAGCUUUCUUCCUUGGCUGUAGCGUGCUCAGUGUGGUAGAGGUGUUUUAUUACCUCACUCUGCGCCUCUUCUUCCAUUUACAUGACGUUCAUCACUCCCGACGGGUACACGACCAACACAACGCAAAAACGUUAGUGUCUAGAUACUAAUGACUACUAUAUCCAGAGAUAUCACCUUCAUGUUUUUAGUACUAUCGAUUUUGUGUGCGCCGAGGUACUUACAAAUUCUGUGUGCAAUAAAUGUAUGUAAGGCUCCUUCAUCCAACUUUAUCCAAUUAACUCACUAACUCACCAAUAAACUCUUUGCCUCACUAACUUGACUAACUGACUCCUCAUUAACUGUCCUGCUUAUAACAUCUCGGCACAGACCGCACAAAAAAAAAAAUUUCAUUACUGCCGUGGAAACAUGCU